rnacentral:rRNA from 1 species
UACGGAGGGGGCUAGCGUUGUUCGGAAUUACUGGGCGUAAAGCGCACGUAGGCGGCUUUGUAAGUUAGAGGUGAAAGCCCGGAGCUCAACUCCGGAACUGCCUUUAAGACUGCAUCGCUUGAACGUCGGAGAGGUAAGUGGAAUUCCGAGUGUAGAGGUGAAAUUCGUAGAUAUUCGGAAGAACACCAGUGGCGAAGGCGACUUACUGGACGACUGUUGACGCUGAGGUGCGAAAGCGUGGGGAGCAAACAAG